AAAUGAAAAAUCUCCCUACAAAAAAAAAACGUAAAGCUUGCACCUUGAAGAACAAGAACAACCGACAAUUACUCUAUUUUUUAGUUCUUCGUUUUAAUUACUUUAAUCGGGUUCGUUCGAGUUCGAGCAUAGAUUCACGACCACCGUACCAUGUUCACUGUACCUACAACAGCGCAAUGGAGUCUUCAUAAAGACUCAUUAUCCGAACAGUCUCAUUUUGAGACUAUACGGCAUUUGAACUUUGCACGUGUCUUGCUAUUCGGCUCUCAUUCCCUCGACCUUCAUCCGACCAGAGAACAAAGAGAGUGGUUAGCCAAACGGCAGACCAUUGAAAACUUUACUCUUAUGGUAGUCAAAUGUAGCUUUAGUCAUCUCAUUUUUAUUUUUUGAUGCUUGUUAUGUGUCUGGUGUGACUGACAUUUUAUCUAGCUGAGUGAUUGUGAUAAUUAUUUAACUGCUUAUUCUAA